rnacentral:misc_RNA from 1 species
GAAGCAUGGGAUUGUGGAGGCCUUUACCAAGUUGGCAUGUUUCCGCACUGGGGUAUCUGGUCGGAGUGGAACGGAAAGUACCGUGACAUGGUACGGCAGUUCAUCAAAGGCACUGAUGGGUUUUCUGGGGCUUUUGCUGAAUGCCUUUGUGGAAGCCCAAAUCUAUACCAGAAAGGAGGAAGAAAACCAUGGAACAGUAUAAAUUUCGUGUGUGCCCACGAUGGUUUUACUUUGGCUGAUUUAGUGACAUAUAACAAUAAACACAAUUUG